AGGCCUACCAUGGUUUUAACGGGUAACGGGGAAUUAGGGUUCGAUUCCGGAGAGGGAGCCUGAGAAACGGCUACCACAUCCAAGGAAGGCAGCAGGCGCGCAAAUUACCCAAUCCCAACACGGGGAGGUAGUGACAAUAAAUAACAAUACAGGGCCUUUACGGGUCUUGUAAUUGGAAUGAGUACAAUUUAAAUCCCUUAACGAGGAACAAUUGGAGGGCAAGUCUGGUGCCAGCAGCCGCGGUAAUUCCAGCUCCAAUAGCGUAUAUUAAAGUUGUUGCAGUUAAAAAGCUCGUAGUUGAAUUUUAGCCUUGGCUGGGUGGUCCUGCCUUUUGGUAGGUACUGCUUUGGCUGGGGCUCACCUUCUGGUAAAGCAUCAUGUUCUUAAUUGGAUGUGGUGGGGAACCAGGACUUUUACUUUGAAAAAAUUAGAGUGUUUAAAGCAGGCAUUUGCUUGAAUACAUUAGCAUGGCAUAAUAGAAUAGGACUUUGGUUCUAUUUUGUUGGUUUCUAGGACUGAAGUAAUGAUUAAUAGGGAUAGUUGGGGGCAUUAGUAUUUAAUUGUCAGAGGUGAAAUUCUUGGAUUUAUGAAAGACUAACUUCUGCGAAAGCAUUUGCCAAGGAUGUUUUCAUUAAUCAAGAACGAAAGUUAGGGGAUCGAAGACGAUCAGAUACCGUCGUAGUCUUAACCAUAAACUAUGCCGACUAGGGAUCGGACGAUGUUAUUUUUUUGACUCGUUCGGCACCUUAUGAGAAAUCAAAGUUUUUAGGUUCCGGGGGGAGUAUGGUCGC
rnacentral:rRNA from 1 species